rnacentral:rRNA from 1 species
GAUGAACGCUAGCGGCAGGCUUAACACAUGCAAGUCGAGGGGUAUAGGUUUUCGGACCUAGAGACCGGCGCACGGGUGCGUAACGCGUAUGCAAUCUACCUUUCACAAAGGGAUAGCCCAGAGAAAUUUGGAUUAAUACCUUAUAGUAUUACGUUUUGGCAUCAAGAUGUAAUUAAAGAUUUAUCGGUGAAAGAUGAGCAUGCGUCCCAUUAGUUAGUUGGUAAGGUAACGGCUUACCAAGACUACGAUGGGUAGGGGUCCUGAGAGGGAGAUCCCCCACACUGGUACUGAGACACGGACCAGACUCCUACGGGAGGCAGCAGUGAGGAAUAUUGGUCAAUGGGCGCAAGCCUGAACCAGCCAUCCCGCGUGAAGGAAGAAUGCGCUACGCGUUGUAAACUUCUUUUCCAGGGGGAGAAUAAUCCUGUCGUGACAGGACUUGACGGUACUCUGGGAAUAAGCAUCGGCUAACUCCGUG